UCUUAACAUUUAAUUUAAUUGUGGUUUUUGGGGAUUAAUAUAUUAUAAUUAAUAAUGUGUUUGAUUGGGGUGAUUGUAGAAUUUUUAUAACUUCUAUUUUAUUUUUCAUAAAUUAAUGUUUUGUUGAUCCAUUUAUAAUGAUUAUAAGAUUAAGUUACCUUAGGGAUAACAGCGUAAUUUUUUCGGAGAGUUCAUAUCGAUGAAUAAGUUUGCGACCUCGAUGUUGGAUUAAAAUUAGUCUUGGGUGUAGAAGUUCAUUGACUAGGUCUGUUCGACCUUUAAUUUUUUACAUGAUCUGAGUUCAAACCGGAGAA
rnacentral:rRNA from 1 species